UACGGAGGGUGCAAGCGUUAUCCGGAUUCACUGGGUUUAAAGGGUGCGUAGGUGGGCCUGGUAAGUCAGCGGUGAAAUCUCCGGGCUUAACCCGGAAACUGCCAUUGAUACUAUAGGUCUUGAAUUAUCUGGAGGUAAGCGGAAUAUGUCAUGUAGCGGAUGAAAUGCUUAGAGUAUGACAUAGAACACCAAUUGCGAAGGCAGCUUACUACGGAUACAUUGACACUGAGGCACGAAAGCGUGGGGAUCAAACAGGA
rnacentral:rRNA from 1 species